rnacentral:lncRNA from 1 species
GAGCUAGCAGAAAGAGCAAAUUUACCUGUGCGUAAUGUGAGUAAUCUUCAAGAUUUUGAAAUCUUUUAAUUACCUUAAUUUGUUGUUUAGCUAAAUACUUAUGACAUCAGAAAUUAAUUUUCAUGAAAAAUAAGUUAAACCGCCGAUACAUCAUUUUCAAUUCAUUAUACUUUGCAUUGGCAAAAGCCAAUAUUGUCCGGUAUAGAACCAGUCUAAGAUUGACAAAGGGAAGUAAUUUGUUUAAAAAGUGUGUAAUAACAGAAUCAAAUCGGUAAUUGGCAAAUGAACUAUUUUUUUUUUUAAAUUUAAAAGAACAAACAUUAAUCAUUCAUAUAUCAUACAUUUAUGUUUAUCUAAUCCAUUAAUUAAUUAAGGCAAAUAAUUUAUAUCGGUUAUCAAGGUUUUAGAAAGUAACACAUAUAUCAAUAUACUAGUAUAUUUUUAAAGGUGAGUCUGCAGUGGUACAAGUUCGCAAUGAUUGCAGAUGUUCUAGUUGGUAGUUCACGUGUGUAUUAGUUGACUGUUAGUAGUACAAGUUGAC